rnacentral:rRNA from 1 species
UACGGGGGAUGCGAGCGUUAUCCGGAUUUAUUGGGUUUAAAGGGCGCGUAGGCGGGACGGCAAGUCAGCGGUAAAAGACUGCAGCUAAACUGUAGCACGCCGUUGAAACUGUCGACCUGGAGACGAGACGAGGGAGGCGGAACAAGUGAAGUAGCGGUGAAAUGCAUAGAUAUCACUUGGAACCCCGAUAGCGAAGGCAGCUUCCCAGGCUCGGUCUGACGCUGAUGCGCGAGAGCGUGGGUAGCGAACAGG